GAGUGAUCAAGUGCCUUAAGAGCAUUCGGUGGAUGCCUUGGCGUCGAGAGGCGAUGAAGGACGUGGUACGCUGCGAUAAGUCAUGGGGAGCUGCGAACAAGCUUUGAUCCGUGAAUUUCCGAAUGGGGAAACCCAAUCCGCAAGGAUUAUCCUAGCAAUAGGAAGCGAACCCGGGGAAGUGAAACAUCUCAGUACCCGGAGGAAAGGACAUCAACAGAGACUCCGCUAGUAGUGGCGAGCGAACGCGGACCAGGCCAGUGGUCUAUUUUAAUGAACCGGAAUCCUCUGGAAAGGGGAGCAUUAUGGGUGACAGCCCCGUACGGGUAGAGUUGGAAUGGAUCCUUGAGUAAGGCGGGACACGUGAAAUCCUGUCUGAACAUGGGGGGACCACCCUCCAAGCCUAAGUACUCCUCGACGACCGAUAGCGAACUAGUACCGUGAGGGAAAGGUGAAAAGCACCCCGACAAGGGGAGUGAAAUAGUACCUGAAACCGGAUGCUUACAAACAGUCGGAGCCUGAAAUGGUGACGGCGUACCUUUUGUAUAAUGGGUCAGCGACUUAAUUUAACGAGCAAGCUUAAGCCGGUAGGUGUAGGCGCAGCGAAAGCGAGUCCGAAUAGGGCGACUUAGUUCGUUGGAUUAGACCCGAAACCGGGUGAUCUAGCCAUGAGCAGGCUGAAGGCAAGGUAACACUUGCUGGAGGGCCGAACCGGUGAAUGUUGCAAAAUUCUCGGAUGACUUGUGGCUAGGGGUGAAAGGCCAACCAAACUCGGUAAUAGCUGGUUCUCCGCGAAAUCUAUUUAGGUAGAGCGUCAGACCUAUACUCUCGGGGGUAGAGCACUGGAUGGGCUAGGGGUCCCCACAGGAUUACCAAACCUAACCAAACUCCGAAUACCGAGAAGUACUAUCUGGCAGACACACGGCGGGUGCUAACGUCCGUCGUGAAAAGGGAAACAACCCUGAUCGCCAGCUAAGGCCCCUAAGUCGUGGCUAAGUGGGAAAGGAUGUGAGAAUCCCAAAACAACCAGGAUGUUGGCUUAGAAGCAGCCAUCAUUUAAAGAAAGCGUAACAGCUCACUGGUCUAAAUAAGGGUUCUUGCGCCGAAAAUGUAACGGGGCUCAAGCCACGCGCCGAAGCUGCGGGUGCAUCGCAAGAUGCGCGGUAGCGGAGCGUUCCGUAAGCCUGUGAAGCGGGAUCCGUGAGGACCCGUGGAGGUAUCGGAAGUGAGAAUGCUGACAUGAGUAACGGAAAGGCGUGUGAGAGACACGCCCGCCGAAAGUCCAAGGGUUCCUGCGUAAAGCUAAUCUGCGCAGGGUCAGCCGGCCCCUAAGCCGAGGCCGAAAGGCGUAGGCGAUGGGAAUGAGGUGAAUAUUCCUCAGCCUGUGGAUGGUGACGAACGCCUUAAGUUGUUCAAGCUUACUGGAUUGCUUGGGCAGCGACGGAGUUCCAGGAAAUAGCCUCCACGUUAUAGACCGUACCCGAAACCGACACUGGUGGACUGGUAGAGAAUACCAAGGCGCUUGAGAGAACGAUGCUGAAGGAACUCGGCAAUUUACCUCCGUAACUUCGGGAUAAGGAGGCCUCCUCGGUGGGCAACCAUUGGGGAGGGGCACAGACCAGGGGGUGGCGACUGUUUAGCAAAAACACAGGGCUCUGCGAAGUCGAAAGACGACGUAUAGGGUCUGACGCCUGCCCGGUGCCGGAAGGUUAAGAGGAGGGGUGCAAGCUCUGAAUCGAAGCCCCGGUAAACGGCGGCCGUAACUAUAACGGUCCUAAGGUAGCGAAAUUCCUUGUCGGGUAAGUUCCGACCUGCACGAAUGGCGUAACGACUUCCCCGCUGUCUCCAGCAUCGACUCAGUGAAAUUGAAUUCCCCGUGAAGAUGCGGGGUUCCUGCGGUUAGACGGAAAGACCCCGUGAACCUUUACUAUAGCUUUGCACUGGCAUUCGUGUCGUCAUGUGUAGGAUAGGUGGUAGGCUUUGAAGCCGGGGCGCCAGCCUUGGUGGAGCCACCCUUGAAAUACCACCCUUGAAGAUAUGGAUGUCUAACUGCGGCGCGUCAUCCGCGCCCAGGACAGUGCAUGGUGGGUAGUUUGACUGGGGCGGUCGCCUCCCAAAGCGUAACGGAGGCGCGCGAAGGUGGGCUCAGAGCGGUCGGAAAUCGCUCGUUGAGUGCAAUGGCAUAAGCCUGCCUGACUGCGAGACUGACAAGUCGAGCAGAGACGAAAGUCGGCCAUAGUGAUCCGGUGGUCCCACGUGGACGGGCCAUCGCUCAACGGAUAAAAGGUACUCCGGGGAUAACAGGCUGAUGAUGCCCAAGAGUCCAUAUCGACGGCAUCGUUUGGCACCUCGAUGUCGACUCAUCACAUCCUGGGGCUGGAGCAGGUCCCAAGGGUUCGGCUGUUCGCCGAUUAAAGUGGUACGUGAGUUGGGUUCAGAACGUCGUGAGACAGUUUGGUCCCUAUCUGCCGUGGGUGUAGGAGAUUUGAGAGGAUCUGUCCUUAGUACGAGAGGACCGGGAUGGACGUACCUCUGGUGUACCUGUUGUCGCGCCAGCGGCACAGCAGGGUAGCUAUGUACGGUCGGGAUAACCGCUGAAGGCAUCUAAGCGGGAAACCCACCUCAAAACGAGAUCUCCCUCGAGAGCCGUGGAAGACGACCACGUUGAUAGGCCGGACAUGUACGCCUGGUGACAGGCUCAGUGGACCGGUACUAAUAGCUCGAUCGGCUUGAUCGCUCUCAUU
rnacentral:rRNA from 1 species